GCGACAACCAGCAAGCGGCUGUAAACAAGCUGUGCGAGAAGAGAACUGCAUGAACGCGGCCUCAAUCAGGCGACAUUUAAAGGAUAAAUCCAAUCCUCUAGAGCUACCGCGUGCACUCAUAUUGAGGACUUCCAAAAGGAGCUGUAGUAUAAUUGGU